rnacentral:rRNA from 1 species
CACUCCGCCCGUCACACCAUGGGAGUUGGUUCGACCUUAAGCCGGUGCGCCAACCUGGCAACAGGAGGCAGCCGACCACGGUCGGGUCAGCGACUGGGGUG